AUGAUUACAUGCACCAUGCGAAGCUGGUACAGGUGCGUAAUACAUCUUAAUUCUUUCCAUGUCCCCCUUCCCUCCCUCUCUUGGUCCCCUUCCCAUUUGCGAAAGAUCCAUCUCCCUGUUUCCUGCGUCUACCUUUUACUUUGCUCUUUGCUAACUGUUCCCGUACCCCACAUCUCCACAGCACGCAGCCCGGCACCCCACCCCUCCGCGCCCCGACGGUUCACACUAGGAAAUGCGGCUCCCAGGAGAAGAGCUUCUCUGCCUGGGUCCCUCGGGCUGCGCUCGUCCCGCUCCUCCUCCGCGGGCUCCACAGACAACCGACCCGCGCCUGCCAAGGGGCGCACGGCGGCGCCCAGCCACAGCGAGCCCCGCGACAGGGCCUGGCCGGGCUCAGCGCCCUCCCGCCACCGCGCAGCCCCGUUUACAGCGCGCCCAGCGGUUUCUGCCCCACGGAGGACAGAAUCGCCCGGCAGGUGUGGGACACGGAGAACAAGCUUUGUCUCUGCUUGCCCAGUGACAACUGUCUCCCUUUGCCGGCAGCAGCACCCGAUUUUCCCAUGGAGCACCACCAGUCUUCCCUGCUUUGCCCACAGAGGUACAGGGGGCUGAGGACCGGAUUGGCUCCAGCAGUAGGCACAUGACCUGAACCUGGCCAAUCAGAAUCUUUUGUUCCACUGGCCCUGAGUUUGAUUCCCAGGAGGCACCUGGCUCACCUGACACUGAGAUCCUGGCCCUGCGACUUCUGGAGAAACUACAAGGAUGCAAAGCUUCUAUUCCAGAGGAACCGCUGGACUAAUGGGAUAUAACUGACCAGCUGUCACCACCUGACAUGAAGCCAACACGGGUCAGCGGAGACCAAGAGAGUUUUUCCUGUCACUUGACCACCUGGAUCCAGCUGUGACCAAAGCUAAACCCCUGGAGCUUUUCCACGACACGUGCCAAUAAAUUCCUUUUUGUUUGUUUAUUUAAAGCAGUUCAAACUGGACUUCUGCCAUUUCCAACCAAAAAUAUCCCAACCCAACCUAGCGGUGCCAAACAGCUAAGAGAAUUCGCUAAAGCGAAAUAAAAGCAAUGGUUGAUUUUUCCAGGACUCCGAAGCUGUCAGAUGUCAUCGCGCUGGAUUUACUUGUUUUAUUUUCUGUUGCUGCACUGAGAUCUAAACGGCGGAGGGGGGCGCGGGAGCCGGCUGUGACCCUCACACAGAUCCGCUUGUGCAGACUGAACCCAGGGACAAUCACCCGGGGUUCCCACGUCUCUAAGGCCCCCUCCCCCGAUCUGAACCCUACACCCUGCUGGGGUCUGUUCCCCUCAGUUAUUCUCUCCUCACCACAAACAGCUGCACCCAAACUGGCCCAGCUUUCUUACUCUCCUGGUUCCUACACCACAGUCUCUUCCACUUACAACAAUAAACAGAAAAAGCAAAACAAGACUUCAACAUGCAAAAUCAUCCUAAUACAGAAUCAGGCAUAAAUAAUUUUUUUAAAGUGAAGAAAAAUAUAAAACAUGAAUGGCAGUUGUCUGUGCUAGUAGGACAAUAGCUGAUCUUUCUCUUUUAAAAAAGUACCUUUCUGUACUUUCCGCAUUUUCUUGGUAUUUCUUCUACAUUAGAAAUGCAUAUUCUAAUAUUUUUGGUUUUCAUGAAACAGGGUUCCGCUAUGUAGUGCAGGCUGGCCUUGAACUCGAAAUGAUCCUCCUGCUCAGCCUCCUAAGUGCUGGCAAUACAGGCAUACACCACCAUGCCAAGCAAAACAUGCAUAUUUUUCAAAUGUGCUUCCUCUUCAAACUGACACCCUUGCCACCCGUCACUGACAACACUGUGAAGAGACACUGUGCACGACACCCACUUCCUCAUUCACUCCUGCUCUGACUCCACUGUCCCCCGGGGGGCGUCACCACACACAGUGGCUCUCUGUCCAGCUCCAGCUCACCUGGCUUCUCUGGCUCACCCUCCCUUCCUGCCUUCCCUGGUUCAAGAGAUGCCCACCUCCUUGCUGCUCCAGCCAGCCAGCCAGUCAGUCCACCCAUCAAACCGGGCACUCUCUGCUUUGCCCCCUUCCCUACCCUUUCCUCUGCCACGUCUCCACCCUCCCCUCCUCUGAGGAACUCGCUCAGCCAGAGCCAGGUCAGCACUGGAUUCUGACUGUUUUCAUUAUCACCACUCAUCACAAUGUGUUUUUGUCCUCAACAGACAGCCAUCUAAUGAAACACAUGGAGUGACUGAAAAAGAUGACGACCGUUCAAAACUUACCAAAGUGAAAGAAGUAUCACUAUAAAUCCCCUUCAAAGUACUCCCCUAUCAACACAUUCACCCCAGGUCUUGCUGCGCUCUGCAGCAGCUCUGCAGUCUUCUCUCCUGAGUGUCCUUAGUUGCACUGUCAUGGCUGCCUCAUGUGCUGAAUUGGCUCAAAAUGUUUCCCUUGCUGGUCAUGUUGACUUUGGGGAAGAGCCCGAAGUCACAGGGUGCCAGAUCCAGUGAACAAGGUGGAUGAGGACACAGCGCCAUGUUUUUAGGAGCUGCCUUUCUGCUGGAUGGCGCUCAGUGACGGCAGUCACUCUUCAUACAGAAGAGUAUCAUGGUCACGCAUCAUACAGAAAGGCGCUGAUGAAGGAGGACUCCAGAGGUGCUUCGGAAAGUGACACAUAGGAUGAG
ensembl:lincRNA